CACGGGUGAGUAAUAUAUAGGUAACGUGCCCUAGAGAAGAGGAUAACAAUUGGAAACGAUUGCUAAGACUCUAUAUGCCUUUAAGACUUAAGUCUGCAAGGGAAAUAUUUAUAGCUCUAGGAUCGGCCUGUACGGUAUCAGUUAGUUGGUGAGGUAAUGGCUCACCAAGACUAUGACACCUAACUGGUUUGAGAGGAUGAUCAGUCACACUGGAACUGAGACACGGUCCAGACUCC
rnacentral:rRNA from 1 species